rnacentral:rRNA from 1 species
GAACGCUAGCGACAGGCCUAACACAUGCAAGGUCGAGGGGCAGCACAAGGAAGCAAUCUGAGGUGGCGACCGGCGCACGGGUGAGUAACACGUAUGCAACCUGCCUGUAAGCGGGGAAUAACCCGUUGAAAGACGGACUAAUACCGCAUAAUACUAAAUUACUGCAUGGUAAUUUAUUUAAACAUUUAUGGCUUACAGAUGGGCAUGCGCAUGAUUAGCUAGUUGGAGAGGUAACGGCUCCCCAAGGCAACGAUCAUUAGGGGUUCUGAGAGGAAGGUCCCCCACACUGGUACUGAGACACGGACCAGACUCCUACGGGAGGCAGCAGUGAGGAAUAUUGGUCAAUGGACGAGAGUCUGAACCAGCCAAGUCGCGUGCAGGAAGAAUGUCCUAAUGGAUUGUAAACUGCUUUUGCAGGGGAAUAAAGUGCAUCACGUGUGAUGUUUUGUAUGUACUCUGCGAAUAAGGAUCGGCUAACUCCGUGCCAGCAGCAGC